rnacentral:tRNA from 11 species
GCGGGCAUCGUAUAAUGGCUAUUACCUCAGCCUUCCAAGCUGAUGAUGCGGGUUCGACUCCCGCUGCCCGCUCCA